GACGAACGCUGGCGGCGUGCUUAACACAUGCAAGUCGAACGGUGAAGCGCCUUCCUUUUUGGUGGGUGUGGAUGAGUGGCGAACGGGUGAGUAACACGUGAGUAACCUGCCCCCUUCUUCUGGAUAACCGCAUGAAAGUGUGGCUAAUACAGGAUAUUCUGGGUCUGUCGCAUGAUGGGUCUGGGAAAGAUAUUGUUUCGGUGGGGGAUGGGCUCGCGGCCUAUCAGCUUGUUGGUGGGGUGAUGGCCUACCAAGGCGGUGACGGGUAGCCGGCCUGAGAGGGUGGACGGUCACACUGGGACUGAGACACGGCCCAGACUCCUACGGGAGGCAGCAGUGGGGAAUAUUGCACAAUGGGCGCAAGCCUGAUGCAGCGACGCCGCGUGAGGGAUGGAGGCCUUCGGGUUGUGAACCUCUUUCGCCAGUGAAGCAGGCCUGCCUCGUUUGUGGGUGGGUUGACGGUAGCUGGAUAAGAAGCGCCGGCUAACUACGUG
rnacentral:rRNA from 1 species